CUCUAAUGUACUUCCGGCAACACAAGUCACAGAUAUUGCAGUAACUAAUUUGUUUACAGGGAUAGUAAUACUAUGAGGUCGAAUUCCUCAAUCAAAGAAGAAAAAUCAAUAUUAUUUUCUAAUCACUGAGUUUCUCCAAGAAGGUAUAUCGUAAAUUAAUUACGUUGCUACAUAUUUGAGAACACAUCGAUUAUUGUCUGAAGUUUGCAAAUGGUAUACACUUGUAAUUGACCUUAUCAACCUCUACCAUGUCAAGAUAAGCUGCAUGUAAUUAAGUGGCUGGUGAUACUAUAACAGAGACACAAUGUCACCGUCCUUCUGAGAACAAAUUAUUUCAGCAGUGUUACAGAAAUAUAAAAUUUAUUUCCAAAAAUAAUAUAUAAAUAAGAGCGCAAACGCUGAAAUGUCUCGCCUUCUUUACAAAUCAUUGAUAUCAUGUUGAUAGUCCUCAAUAUAAAGCAUCACUACAACUAUCACAUAAACUUAACAUGAUCCAAGAAAAUGAGGUCUAGGUCAUAUAAAAAACAAACAAGAAAUACAUGUACACCUUACAAUCAUACAAUACUCUAAGCAGUAAAGUUGACCUAUUGCUCAUAUAUAGUUUUAAUAAAACAGACUUAACCAAGAAAACUAAACAUUGACAAAUGAAAAUGAAAAUGAGGUCAAGGUCAGAUGAACCAUGCCAGGCAGACAUGUACAGCUUACAAUUCUUCCAUACAACACAUAUAGUUGACCUAUUUCCUAAGACAACAGACAAAAACACAAAAACUUUACUAUAACCACUAAACCUUGAAAAUGAGGUCAAGGUCAGAUGACACCUGCCAGUUGGGCGUGUACACCUUAGUCCUUCCAUACACCGAAUAUACUAGACCUAUUGCUUAUAGUAUCUGAGAUAUGGACUUGACCACAAAAUUAAACUUGUUUCUGAUCAUGAAACAGGUCGAGGUCAAGUGAAAACUAUCUGAUGGGCAUGACGACCUUGCAAGGUAUGCACAAACCAAAUAUGGUUAUCUUUUUACUCAUAAUAAGAGAGAAAUUGACAUUACAAAAAAUCAUAACUUUUUUUCAAGUAGUCACUGAACCAUGAAAAUGAGGUCAAGGACAAUGGACAUGUGACAGACGGUAACCUCGUAACAUGAGGAAUCUAUAUACAAAGUAUGAAGCAUCCAUGUUUCCCACCUUCUAAAAUAUAGAGCUUUUCAGAAGUUAGCUAACGCCGCCGCUGCCGGAUCACUAUUCCUUUGUAGAGCUUUCUGCGACGAAAGUAGCAGGCUCUACAAAAAUAUUGUAUUGCCCUUGGAGGAAUCAUAUCAGCUAAAUUUAAGUUAUUUUUAAAAAUAUUUUUCCGUCUAAGUCCCCGAGUUCUGAUCUGAUGUAAAGCGUUUGCGCGAAGUAUCAUGGAUGCUUGCGAAACGGAAAUUGAAAGUAGAGUCAACGUGGCCUUUCCUAACAACUGUAACAGCAGUAUAACUAAUGAAAUGUGAGUUGUUAGUUUGGGGAUAUUACGUUGUCAUUCAAAAGACUGACCAUUUAAACAAAUGCAAUGAAUGGCCAUUGAUUAUAUUAUAACAUUUUACGCAUUUUAUGUCAAUUACUCUGUCCCUGUUCUUUUGACGGAGGCUGCAAUGUUGUAAGUCAUGCCGUUUCCCCUAAAUUUGAAUAUCCCUCUUCACUAAAGAAUAAUGACAUGCAUGUUGUUAUCAAACUUGACAAUUCACCGUUUCAGAAGCUAAAGGCCAAUUAUCAAUUGAAAAUGAUUAUUCUUGAAAUUUAGAUGUACAUGUACUAACAAAACUUUAAGCCAAUUAAGUUACAUUAUAUUAUUCAUAAACCAAUCAAAAUAAUUUGGUGUACGUUUUAUUCACAUUGUGUUAGAUUCUGAGAUGGCGAAUUAAUUUCAUAUUGAUUUAUCUGAUAUAUAUAGGUUCCAUAGAUAAUAGAUUUACUUAUGUACACAUGUAAUGAUGUACAAGAACUCUCGCUAUAUUACCAUGACUUACUUACAUGUAUCCUGGUAAAGAAAAUUAAUUGGUUCAAAAUGACGGCUACAUAUAAUAAAAUAUGAUACAUGUACAUAAUAUGUGGAAACACUCAGACACACACAUGUGUAAAAACAGAAAUAAUAUAUAUUUUAAUCACAAUUUUUAAUGUUACUACAAAACAAUGUUAUCAUAAUCAUAUAACUUAGACUUAAUAAUUUAAGUUGCUUCUUAAUUAACAGUGAUAACUAAUUUCCUCAUAACUUAUAGUGAAAUUUAAAGCAGGCCUUUCGUUUUCUGUACACAUGGAUAAAUGUAGAUGAAAUCAGAAUUAGCAAAAAGUUUACAUUGUCAUGAUUGUCUAAUAAGCUAUGACUUAUAGGAAGCUUUUGUAUACAUUGCAAUAUCUCAUUACUUGCUCCUUAAACACAGGUAGUAGGUGUUUAAUUUGUUUUACUAUUUUUUGGCAUUUACAUAUUCAACUUUUAGGACUAAAGAUCAGGAACUAUAGUUUUAGACUUCUUAAUGGAUAGUAUUUAUCCAAAGAUGUUUCAAACAUGCAUGAACCUUGACAGUGAAACUUGAAAAUAAAAAAAAAAAAAACUUUAGCUAAAACACCCUUAGUGAAUUUAGGAAAAGUAAAGACAAAAAUAAUUUAGAUUUAACACAAAUCUACUUUUCAAAAUCAAAGGGAAAUAACUAAAGAUAUUCAUUGCAUUUGGGAUUUUUUUUUUUAGUUGAAACAAGCUGUACUCAGUAUAUUUAAAAAUAUAACUAUUAGAACUGCAAAAGAAUGUUGUGAUGAGUGCUGAUUUAUUCAUAAAUCAAGUUAUAUUUUCAACUCAAUGAAUGAUCAUUUUAUAAUGUUAACCUUUGAUCAAAGUAUAACAAAUACCCAACAGAAGACUAUAAAUGUAAUUUCAGUAAGCUGGGUGACUAUACCAUUUGCAGGUAUACAUUUGUAUUUUUUAACUGCUCUUAUUUAUUAUUUUCUUAUUUUUACUCAAUUUUUUUUAUUUUUUUCUUUACAAUGUUUUUUAUUUUGUUUAUUAUUUUAUUGGCAAUAUACAUGAAGGUAUAAAGAAAUCAUAGCAGAAGUAUUAUUAUUAACAUCAUGUUUGAAUCAGAGACCAGACCAUUACUACAUAACACAGAUUGUGUUAACUUUUCUUUACUUAUUGCCAGUUGUGUUGGACUUUUUCUGUCAUUUUAUAUAAACAUUAUGUUUCAAACUAUUUGUGUCAUUUAUACUCUAAAUGAAAAAUAAUCUUAUUCAGAUUGUCUCAUACAAUGCCAAGCGACUUAAUCAAUUGAAAAGCGAAGAAUGUUUUAGACUAUCUAAGAGCAAAAGAUUGUAACAUGUAUUGUCUUCAAGAUGCACACUUUUCUGAAAAAGAUGAACAAUUGUUAAGAAUCAAUGGGUGGAGAAUGUGUCUUUAGUUCCUUUUCUUCAAAUCAAAGAGGAGGGCCUUUUAUUUAAUAAUAAUUUUGAAUAUAAGAUUUUACCAAAGUAAAAAAGAUCAAAAUGAAUCUAUUAGGAUUGAAUAUUAAAAUUGAAGAUAGCAAUAUUACUUUAAUUACAUUAUAUGGUCCAAACAGUGACAGCCUGAUUUUUAUGAUAAAGUUAGUGAAAUAAUUGAAGAAUUUGAUAAUCAUACGUCAUUGUGACAGGAGAUUAUAAUUUAGUGCAAAAUCAAGACCUUGAUACUUUUAAUUACUUAAAUAUAAAUAAUCCAAAAGCCAAGGAAAAAGUUUUAGAUAUAAAGGAAAUUUACAACCUAACUGAUCCCUUUAGAGAACUAUAAUCCAGAAAGUAAAAGAUAUACUUGGAGGAAACCAAACCCUAUAAGCAGGCCAGACUAGAUUUUUUUUAGUUUCACAGAGCUUUUAUCCCAAAUGUACAUGACUUAAAGAUACAAAAUAGUUAUAGAUCAGAUCACUCACCUAUUAUUUUACAAAUAAAACUUAAUAACUUCAGAUUGGGGGGGUUUAUGGAAAUUUAACAACUCUCUUCUAUAUUGAUCAAUUAUGUCCCAUAUUGUUAAAGAAGUAAUAAAUAAAACUAAAGAGCAAUAUGCUUUCUUGUAUUAAUCGAGAAAACCUAACUUAAUAGACUCUAGUGAAAUUGAUUCACAAUUAGUGAUCAACUAUUUUUAGAAAAACUGAAAUAAGGGGGAAAACAAUAUCAAUUGCUUCAUUUAAAAAAAAGAAACAAAUAAAUCAGAACAUUUGUUAUCUGAAGAUAAACAAGUUGAAGAAUAACCCAAACAGAUGAAAUUUUGAACAGAUAGAAAAAAAGAAAACAGAUCUUAGAAUUCUCAGACAAAAUAAAAUGAGGGGUCAAUACAUAAGGUCAAAAACACAAUGGGUAGAAGAAGGAGAGAAACCUCAAAAUAUUUCAUAAAUUUAGAGACAAAAUUAUGUAAAUAAAACAAUUCCUAAAUUAAUUGAUAAUCAGGAAAUAUAAUUAAAACCAAAAACGAAUUCUAAACGAACGAAAAAUUAUUACAAAAAUCUAUAUCCAAAUGAGACAAUAAAUCUAUUAAUCUGAGCAAUGACCCAUAAAGAUAUACCAAAAUUAUUGAAAUAUGAAAGACGUUAGAAGGGGAAAUAUCAUUUUAGAAUUGACUGAUGCCAAUUAAAAGAAUGAAAAAUGAGAAAGCCCUGGAUCGGAUGGAUAACAAAUAAAUUCUAAAAAUUUUUGGAUUGAUAUAGGUAAAUUCAUACAUAGAUCAAUUAAAUAUGGCUAUAAUCAAGGGGAAAUGUCUAUUACCCAAAACAAGGUAUUAUAACUUGCAUACCAAAAGGUGACAAACCAAAACAAUACAUGAAGAAUUGGCGGCCAAUUAGUCUUUUAAAUAAUUUUAUAAAUUAGCAUCAAGUUGCAUUGCAGAAAGGAUAAAGUCAGUUUUUACAAUCUUAGAUUUUGAUGGCAACACGAUUAUGAUCUGAACCAGCCUUCAGGACAACUUAAAAUGUUGAAUGUUCGACCAAAAUGAGGACAUUAAUGCCCUUGACACUCGUAAUCCAUCGUGUUGCCAUGAAUAAAAGUACGAAGGCGACAAGAUGGAAUACGACGGCAUAAAUCAGCUAAAUGUAAGUUAAUUUUCGCGCUAAAAUACAUUAAAGUGCCAUGCGCGAUAUGUAUGGUCAGUCUAAUAGACAGUUAAGAAAGAAUGAGCUCAUAUAUAUGAUUCUAUGAGAACAAGAAGGCGACAGCGUGUUUCUAUUAAUUCAAUGGACAAGAAGAGCAGCUAUUACAGGCUCAGGAUUUACUUUUACAAGUAAAAUAUUAUUUUUUGUCAAUUUUUCAUAUCAAGUAACAUAAUGAAAAUCAUAAACGCGUCUCGUACACAACACUGCAGGUCCGUAUAUAGGGAAACCAACUUUUUCUUCAUUAUUCUGAUUUUUUAUGUAUCGUCUGAGUUGUUGUCACAGAAUGUUUACUCAUAACCAAUUUUGUUUUCUAUAUGUCAUAUUUUGCCGCAUUUGUUGCUUUCGUUCCUUUUGUCUAUAUUAUUAUGAUAUUCUCCUGGAAAGAGCUCUUUUUGAAUAAAGGGGUCACGAACCAUUACCUAUCUUUAAGAUAGAUCACAUGGGCUAUUAUGGGGAUUAUUCAGACUAGUGCACACUUUUACAGUUUCAAACAAGGCAAUGGAGCGUGGCAUCCUCGUAUGUAACAUAUUGGGGACAAAUAUGGACUUCGGCAUAUAAUUUAAAUGCAUCGUAAGAUGUACACGACGGUUUUUAGACAUCGUAUGGCCAUCGCGCCAUCAUCGUAAUCCAUCGUGUAGGCUUCGGCUGAGAUAUGAGCUUAAAUUCCGUCUUCGGUUAACCUUCGUAUGUCAUCUUUUGCAAUCGUAUAUAAUUUCGGCACCAUCGUAUAGACUUCGUUAUUCAUCGUACUUGCUUCGGUCACUUUUUGGUAUUUUUAACGAGAUCGGGACCAAGUACGACUUACAAUUUUCGCAUUCGGGUGUCCAUCGUAUAGAAAAAUCGGGACAGUGUGACGCGGGCAUAAUUAAUAAUGACCAGACAGGAUUUAUACCUGGUAGAUUUAUUGGUGAAAACACCAGACUAAUAUACGAUUUACUACACACACUGAAGAAAAUGAUAUCCAGCAUUCUCCUCUCAUUGACUUUGAAAAAGCUUUUGAUAAAUAUCCUGGAUUUUCAUAGAACAAGUUCUUGAUUUUUUCAACUUUGGAUAUUCCAUAAAACAUUGGGUUAAACUUUUUUUACAAAUACCAAAAGCAAUAACGCAGAAUAAUUUUCUAUCAGAUUUUUUUACAAUUGAAAGAGGUUGCAGACAAGGGGAUCCUUUAUCCCUUACAUUUUCUUGUUAUGUGCAGAAAUUUUAGGAAUUUUACUUAGAAAAAACGAAAAUAUAAAAGGUAUUACUAUUGAAGACUCAGAAUUUUUGAUAUCACAAUAUGCUGAUGACACCAACUUAUUUUAGAUGGUUCACCAGAGUCCUUAGAUGCAUCUCUUUGUGUUUAGAACUAUAUGCUGAAUGGUCUUGUCUCAAGAUGAAUUUAGAGAAAAAAGGUAGUCUGGAUUGGGAAAAAGAAAUAUAGCCAAGAUACAAUGUGUGUAAAGUGGGGAUUGGAGUGGGGUUCCAACAGAUUUACGCUCUUGGGUAUUAAAUAUUCAGUAGACUUACAAGAAAUGGAAACGCUAAAUUUUGAACCCAAAUUUAAAGAGAUAGAAAGAACAAUGAAAAGCUGGUCUAACAAAAUUAUACUUAUCCCCAAUUGGAAAAAUUACUAUAAUUAAAAGUCUUAUAAUUUCAAAGCUCAAUCCUAUUUCUAACUUUACCAAAUCUUAUAAUGGACUACUAAAUCAAUUCAUAAAAAAAUUAUUUGAUUUUAUUUGGGAUGGUAAACCAGACAAAAUUAAAAGAGAAACAAUUGCUCAAAUUAUAUGAACUGGGUGGCUAAACAUGUUAAAUCUAAACAAUACAUCAAGGAUUAAAACUAACUUGAUAAGAAAGAAUAAUCAACAAACUAAUAAUAUUGUAAGUUACUAAUUGUACUGAAAAAAUUGAAUUAAUGAAUAUUCUUGGUAGGUCCAAGAACACAAGUAAGAAAUCCUUUUUUGGCAGGAGGUUUUUAAUGCUUGGACUGAACAAAACCAAAAUAGCUAUUAAGAACGAAUUACGAUUUUAUCACAUCUAUCUUUGGAAUAAUAAAGAAAUUAAAAUUGGGAAUCAAAUCCUCUGUAUAAAAAAUGGACUGAAAGGGCGUCUGGCUAAUAAAUGAUUUAAUUGAUAAUGAUGGACAUUUAAUGAAUUGGCAGGAAUUUAAAAAAACAUAUGAUAUUGAUACCAACUUUCUUAUAUUUCAAGGAGUAAUGUCAGCUGUUUAUUCCUAUAAGAAAAGUCUUAAUAUUAAAAGUAAUCAGCUUAUCAAGCCUUAUGGCCAAUUAUACAACUACUAUUUCUAUUUUUAUGAAAUCUACAAAAGGAUCAAAAGAACAUGCGCAAUGCUUUAAAUGAAAAAAUAACAAAUAUCACAUCACAGGAAAAGUGGUCCUUUAAUCUUAAAUAGACAUAAUUAUUUUGGAAUAAAUAUACAGACUUCCGUUUUACAUUACUAAAAACUCAAAAUACAGUGGCUCCAUACAGGAUUAAUCACAGAAUUUUGGGAACUAAUAAAUUACUCUACAAAAUUAAAGUCUCACAAAACAAUAAAUGCACUUUCUGUUCGGACUCAAUAGAAACUAUUGAACACAUAUUCUGGACAUGUCCAAAAGUUUUUGAUGUUUGGGAAGAACUUAAUAAAUGGAUAUAUUCAAAAGUCCAAAUUGACUACCACUUAAUUUAGAUAUUGUCUUAUUUGGGAUAUUAGAAAAAACAGAAAAAAACUACAUAAGAAAUCUCAUAAUACUAUUAACUAAAUACUAUAUAUACAAACAAAAAUGAUGUGGACAAUUAAAUGUAUACCUAAAAAAUUAUCUUAAAGAAAAUUUGUUUAUUGAAAAAUAAUAUUUUAUAAAAAUAAACCACGCAAAGAGCGUAACUGCUGGAAACUGGCUCCAACUAAUAGAAUGAUUUUAUAAUUAACUUUCACGUAAUAAAAUAUCUACAAUAUACCUCAGAUUAAGAUUUUCAAUUGUUUUUUUCAAAUUAUUAUUAAUAAUAUUCUAUGUUUAUAGAAGGAUUCAAAAUAUCAACUUUAUGUACUCGAUUUUGCUGAUGUAUUAUGAACUUAUUCACUAUUGUUAAUAUACAUGUAGUUCUUUGCCAAUAAACACAUUACAAAAAAAAAAAAAAAAAAAAAAAAAAAAAAAAGAAUAAUGACAGCAUUACAAUAAAAAUAGAACUCCUAAAAUGGACUUCUUCUUUCACAGGUAACACCUGCCUCAUAUCACAGGAUCAUAGAAAGAUGUAUCGUUUUGAAAGUUUCAGCGAGGAGAAGUUGGACCAAAGAGUAUUGUUAGCCUUUGACACUGCAGUGUGUGACUUUACAAAAUCACUUCCAUUUCGAAAUCCACACAAGAAUGAAUAAAUACGGACG
rnacentral:lncRNA from 1 species